rnacentral:rRNA from 1 species
GUGGGGAAUAUUGGACAAUGGGCGAAAGCCUGAUCCAGCCAUGCCGCGUGUGUGAAGAAGGUCUUCGGAUUGUAAAGCACUUUAAGUUGGGAGGAAGGGCAGUAAGUUAAUACCUUGCUGUUUUGACGUUACCGACAGAAUAAGCACCGGCUAACUUCGUGCCAGCAGCCGCGGUAAUACGAAGGGUGCAAGCGUUAAUCGGAAUUACUGGGCGUAAAGCGCGCGUAGGUGGUUUUGUAAGUUGGAGGUGAAAUCCCCGGGCACAACCUGGGAACUGCCUCCAAAACUUCAUGACUAGAGUACGGUAGAGAGUAGUGGAAUUUCCUGUGUAGCGGUGAAAUGCGUAGAUAUAGGAAGGAACACCAGUGGCGAAGGCGACUACCUGGACUGAUACUGACACUGAGGUGCGAAAGCGUGGGGAGCAAACAGGAUUAGAAACCCCGGUAGUCC